CAAAGCGGAGGGGGGUGGCGAGAGAGAGUGUGUGUGUGUAACGAGGGGAGGAGGGGGAGAGCUGGCAGCCAGCCAGCCACCAUCAGAAUUAGCUCAUUGUUCAAUAGAACCAGCACAGGCAACCAAACCCCAGCCUGGAGAGACUUUCUCCCAGCCGCCCCCACCCCUUUUCUUUUUUCCUCCAAGGCUGCUGCACUUUGGAAGAGAUCAUGUAGAAAGGACAGAAAGGGAGCAGGGGCUUUUGUCUAUUAUUCUCUUUGUGGUACCGGAGAGAAACUGCAGUCCCAAGACUUAAGAGUCUAAAAAUGGUAAGAAUUAGUUGUUUUAGCAGAGAAUCAGUAGUUUCCCAUGCUAUCAAAUAUCAGAAUUAACCUCCUUCUCCUAACCCUCACCACAUUCAGAAAUAUGAUCUUUAAAGAUAUCCUUUGGGAUUCUGGGGAUUUGCCAUACAAUGAUUAAUGUACUCUAAAGCCUUUGUGAGUUGGAUUUUUCAUUUUUAGACAUUUUCAACAGAAACCUGAAAUCCGUCCUCAUGCAGUGAGGUUUAUUUAAUCAAAACAAGAGAAAAUGUUUGCUGUCAUGUAAAGAAACAUAAGUUGCAUAGAUGGGAACAUGCAGACAAAGCAACAUGCCACCAAGUCCAUCACAAAAAACAACAAUAAAAAGAACUGAUCAUUGCA
rnacentral:lncRNA from 1 species